GCUGGGCGUGGUGGCACACGCCUGUAGUCCCAGCUACUCGGGAGGCUGAGGCAGGAGAAUCAUUUGAACCCAGGAGGUGGAGGUUGCGGUGAGCCAAGAUCGUGCCAUUGCACUCCAGCUGGGCAACAAGAGAAAAAUUCCAUUUCAGAAAAAAUGAAUAAAUUUGUAAGGUUUUUUCCCCCCCCCCGAGACAGAGCCUUGCUCUGUCGCUUUGGUUGGAGUGCAGUGGUGUGAUCUCGGCUCACUGCAACCUCCACCUCCUGGGUUCAAGUAAUUCUCCUGCCUCAG
rfam:Pan troglodytes isolate Yerkes chimp pedigree #C0471 (Clint) chromosome 17, whole genome shotgun sequence.